CAAAAACCUACUAUGGGUAGGAAAUGUAGUUAGUUUAUAGGUAGGAAAAUAAAUGGGUAAACAAGGGUAAAUAGUUUUAUUUUUGUGGGUCACUGUGUCAAAACCCCCUUUUUUAAUUGAAUGUUUUGCUAGAUUACUAUUGUUGAAGUGCACUUUAACUGAUGUUACGUUGUAGUGCUCAACUAGAACAAGUCUAAGUCAAAAGUGUUUAAAUGAAAAUUGUUGCUAACUUUGAGGAUAUAUUUAUAGAGUUAACCCUAAAUGAAAGUAAUCCAACUUUCAAAACUCAUUCUAGCUUAUGAAACACAUCUUAGCAAUAUAAUCUGGGGAUUGGGAUGACGAACAUAAUAGAAUAUAGUGAUACAUUUGUUUAUACUUCUUAUACGGGGAUGUAAUAAAUUAAGUAACUACAACCCCCAUUCAUUACAUUCCAAAAUUUAACAGAGAAAAAUAUUUAUUUGAAAUUCUCUAUGUAUAAUUGUAAUGAUACAUUUUUUUCUAUAGAUAAGACAGAUGCAUUAUAAAUAAGUAAAAACAUAAAGUACAGCAGGAAAGAAAGUACAAUGGUGAUGGGUAUAAGUAAAUAAGAAGAAAAGAUAAGUUUAAAACAUGUUUGAUGCCACCAAAUUACUCCGGUGAAGGUGAAUAAGGAGUUGCAAUCAAAUAAAAGUCACUCUUUCUAAGAACAGCUAAUCCAGUCGAUUCAGCUAAGUCCAACUAACUUGGAGUAAUUCCUGUAGGAAGAUUCCAAUCAAAGUGGUACAAUAAUUGAGCCAGUGGCAAAUAAAUAUUAGUUAAACCAAAUGAUAUUCCAGGGCAAAUUCUUCUUCCACUACCAAAGGAAAGAUAUUCAAAAUUAUUACCAGUAAAAUCCAUAGUGCUAUGCUGAAAUCUUUCAGGAUUAAAGCUUUCUGCAUCAACCCAAUAUUUUGGAUCUCUUCCCAUUGCCCAAACAUUAACAACGAUUGUGGUUUUUAAAGGAAUAGUGUAGCCAUUUAUAUUUGUUUCUUCUCUACAUUCUCUUGGAAUCAACAGUGGAAGUGGAGGAUGGAGUCUAAAAGUUUCUUUAAUGACUAACUUUAGGUACUUCAACUCCUCUACAUUAUUUUCAUCGAAAGUUUCUUUGCCAUUAAAAGCCUCUCUUACCUCAGCUUGAGCUUUGAUGAGUAUACUUGGAUUCUUCAUCGUUUCUACUAUGGCCCAAGUAACUGUUGACGAUGAAGUUUCUGUUCCAGCAGCGAAUAAAACCUGCAUUUAUGAGCGA